GUUUAAGAACAAAACCCCACUUCAGACUGUUAAAGCAAAAAAGGAAUUCAUUGGCAAGAUACCGAAACAUGUCAUGGAAUCCGUGAGAAAGAAGGGCAAGACCAAAGAACCGUGAGGAUACUCUGCUUUUCUGUCUGGAGGCUGGCUUCUGUCCUUCAGCAGGGACUGAAUCUCAUAUCCAAAUUCUCAGGAGAAAGAACGUGGCUUGAGAUGUCAAACCAGGGUGUUGGAGAAGGAACAGGCUGCUGUGACUGGACCCAGCCCUUCGUGUGGAAAGGACAGUUCCCAGAAUGGAGACAGUAGCUGGGAAAAGGAGGCCUGCAACUGAAAACCACACCAAUGAGGGAAGGGAGAAAUUUUUUACCAAACUCAAGUCUUGGGAAUCCCUCUGUUCACUCUGUAACUAUCUAUUCCAUCUAUGCAAAGGGCCAAAUCCAGCUUCUUAUGUGUAGAGAAGAAAGCGACCCACUAGGGAGGAGGAAGAGAUACCAGAGCCCUUCUUUCUGUGCAUGCACAGAGGAAAGGCCACAUGAGGACAUAGCAAGAAAGAAGGAGAGAGGCCUCGCCAGAAAUUAACCCUGACAGCACCUUAACCUUGGACUUCCAGCCUCCAGCACUUCCCCGAGACGCCCAUGAGUUGAUGUUCUCACCUGCUUGGAGUCAGAAGUGGCAAGUCAGGUCCAUGGUUCCUCCGGCACACAAGAGGUUGCUUUGGAUGGGCACGAAGUCACGCCUUCUGGGAGUGUCGAGUCAUUUCUGUUCGUGACAGCCAUCUCAGAAGUUCUGGGCGUGCUUUUUUAAAUACAAUCUAAACACCUAGAAGAAGUUGUCGGCAAGUAAUAAUGCAAACUGCACUACCAGACUUACGGAGGUGAGAAAUGGACAGCCUUCCAGACGGAUUACAAAUCCAGAGAUGACUGGAAAGGAAAACAAGAACAGGGUGCAUUGGUUUCUGACAUGGGCAGCUGUGGCCAGAACACCCGUGCUCUGAGAGCUCUCAGAAUCUGCCCUCUGAGCCCAUCCUUGCCCCUUCCGGACAUCGAGCUGCCUUGAUUAGGAAAAUGCACCCGUAGAGAGGGGCAGACAUCUAGCAAGACUGUGCUUCUCCAGGUAUUUUCCACUAAAUGGAAUCUGGCUCCUUAGAGAAAUGGUGGACUCCAGGUCUGAGGAAAGAAAUAUACAAGAAAGCAAUCAAAAGAACACUAGGGUCAUCAUCAAAGGAUUCAGGAACCACCUUGAAGAGACUCUCAGUGGCUAAAGAUGGGUCCAUUUUAGCGUCUAGAAGGAUGAUAAUGGCAAUUAGUUGUAACAUUUCCACUGUUUGUCAAAUGAUAUGAGAAAAUAAAUAGUCACCACUAAAA